rnacentral:ribozyme from 1 species
AAUAAACGAAGGGAAUGGGGGAAAUGGGAAAGGAGCAUGGCCUUGUGUUAUUACUUGCGUUUUGUUAACCGUUUUUCUUUUUCUCUCUCUUUCUCCCUAUUU